UGGAGUACAAGUUUAGCGCCGAGCCGAGCGAAGUAGGCAGGGGCGUGAUGAUUGGAUCUCAGGUCAUCGUCAAGAGGGACAGUGUCAGAUAUCUUGGAUCGGGGAUUCAGGGGGACGGAGAGAUUGACGGGGACGUCACUCUAUUGUCGGCAUUCGGCGAGGCAGAGGGAGGCCUAAGAAGUAUUGAGGAGAGGUUAUUAGGCAUGACAUGGCUAGAAUGCGGGUUUCCGAGGACAUGACCCUUGAUAGGAAAGUCUGGAGGUCUAGUAUCAGGGUUGUAGGAUAGGGGCUCCUAGAGUUUGGUGUUGGCAGGGGUAUCCAUAGAAGAUUUGUGUUUUGGCUUGUGUCUCCCUUAUGGUAGUUACUGUAUUAUAUUUUGCAUGCUA
rnacentral:lncRNA from 1 species